GGGCCAUACCUCUUGGGCCUGGUUAGUACCUCUUCGGUGGGAAUACCAGGUGCCC
rnacentral:misc_RNA from 1 species